UGAACGCUAGCGGGAUGCCUUACACAUGCAAGUCGAACGGCAGCACGGACUUCGGUCUGGUGGCGAGUGGCGAACGGGUGAGUAAUGUAUCGGAACGUGCCUAGUAGCGGGGGAUAACUACGCGAAAGCGUAGCUAAUACCGCAUACGCCCUACGGGGGAAAGCAGGGGAUCGCAAGACCUUGCACUAUUAGAGCGGCCGAUAUCGGAUUAGCUAGUUGGUGGGGUAACGGCUCACCAAGGCGACGAUCCGUAGCUGGUUUGAGAGGACGACCAGCCACACUGGGACUGAGACACGGCCCAGACUCCUACGGGAGGCAGCAGUGGGGAAUUUUGGACAAUGGGGGAAACCCUGAUCCAGCCAUCCCGCGUGUGCGAUGAAGGCCUUCGGGUUGUAAAGCACUUUUGGCAGGAAAGAAACGUCAUGGGCUAAUACCCCGUGAAACU
rnacentral:rRNA from 3 species